rnacentral:rRNA from 1 species
UACGUAGGUGGCAAGCGUGUCCGGAUUUAUUGGGUUUAAAGGGUGCGUAGGCGGCUUAUUAAGUCAGUGGUGAAAUACUCUAGCUCAACUAGAGGGGUGCCAUUGAUACUGAUGAGCUUGAGUACAGAUGAGGUAGGCGGAAUUGACGGUGUAGCGGUGAAAUGCUUAGAUAUCGUCAAGAACACCUAUAGCGAAGGCAGCUUACUAGGCUGUAACUGACGCUGAGGCACGAAAAGUGUGGGGAUCAAACAGGAU